rnacentral:rRNA from 1 species
UACGAAGGGGGCUAGCGUUGCUCGGAAUCACUGGGCGUAAAGCGCACGUAGGCGGAUUCUUAAGUCGGUGGUGAAAUCCUGGAGCUCAACUCCAGAACUGCCUUUAAGACUGCAUCGCUAGAAUUGUGGAGAGGUAAGUGGAAUUCCGAGUGUAGAGGUGAAAUUCGUAGAUAUUCGGAAGAACACCAGUGGCGAAGGCGACUUACUGGACACAUAUUGACGCUGAGGUGCGAAAGCGUGGGGAGCAAACAGG